rnacentral:rRNA from 1 species
CCCUUAGAUGUUCUGGGCCGCACGCGCGCUACACUGAUGCAUUCAACGAGUUUCUUCCUGGUCCGAGAGGAAUGGGUAACCUUUUGAAAGUGCAUCGUGAUAGGGAUAGACUAUUGCAAUUAUUGGUCUUCAACGAGGAAUUCCUGGUAGACGUAGUUCAUCAGACUGCAUCGAUUACGUCCCUGCCCUUUGUACACACCGCCCGUCGCUCCUACCGAUUGAAUGCUCAGGUGAGCCAUUCGGACUUUCGCUUCGUCGAUUUUCGGCUUUGUGAGGGAAAGUCUCGCGAACCUUAUCAUCUAGAGGAAGGAGAAGUCGUAACA